UCCUCUUUUGUGUCGGGCCAGACUCAGCCCCAGAAACCAGCCACCCUGCCGCGUCCGACUGCCAGGGAUCCCUCACGCCGCGAGGAAGAGACACUAGAGAGACACUCAGCUGCAGUGAGAAUACACAGGCAUCUUCAAGAGUGAAGUUUGUCUCCCUGACAGUUAAUCCUGAGACAGCCUUCCAUUGCCUUGAUAGGCUUGUCAUUCAUGCCUUGACACCUCUCAUUCAUCUGAGUCUGGCCUGCUGGAUAUGCAAAUGAUAGGAGGACUGAAAAUCAUAAUCCUUCAGCCGUGAUGGCGUCAACGUCACUAUUCUUGGAACAAGCCAUUUUUACCAGAGAUGUCUCCAAGAGCACCAGCAACCCCAGCUAUCUGGAUCUGAAGUGGAUAUGCUCAGAGACAUCCUGGCCCACCCCAAAGAAGAUGCUGCUGCACUCAGAAGACGCCAGAGCUAGCCACCACCCACACUGCAAGUCUGGAAGCUCUGCAAGGACCCAGCAAGGCAGCCUGCUCAGCGAAGGCUUUGUCUCCUGUGGCAGGAAGAGCAACAUUAAGAACAAGAACCCCGGGCUGGACUACCCCUGAGAUUUAAUGACCAGAGCUGAGACCCCCAAGACCACAAUGACUAUGGAGGGCUGUCAUUACCCUGCCUGACCCUCUAAUGCCUCUCAGUUCAAGGAGGCCACUGAGUGAAACUGAAGGCUGGUUUUCCUUGGAAGCCAGCGGCCCAUCCACCUGCUCCACUUCCCUGCCUCUUGCAGCCUCCGCUCAAACACUGUCGUGGCUUGGCAGCACUACAAGGCAGAGUGAAAACAGAUACUUCUACCCACAUUCCUAUCUCCUCUCAUUUACGCAGAUUAAAUGCUUUCUUUCCUUGUUUUACACUGCUAGGAUUUUCAUCACCCUGUUUUUUCUUUCUCUACAUCAGCUACAAGAAAAAAAAAAGGAGUUACUGAGCAACUAAGAAGUCACAACUGUUUUCAGUUUUAUUAAUGAGUUGUUAUACUUAUUUUAUAGAUAGAGAAUUACCAUUAUAACAUUGCUCCAUUGCCCACUCAUCCAUUCACGCAUCUGUCCAUCCGUCCAUCCACCCAUUUGUCCACUCCCCAAAUGGUCAUCAAUUGUCUACUGUGAGCCAAGCAAAGUGCUCCUUACUUUGGACUCUGAAUCCAGUGCUCUUUCUACUUCACCAUAGACACAUGCCCCUUGAGUAUAAGGGAGCUUGAUUCAUUCAACAAAUAUCUGUUGUCCAUCUCCAAUGUACUGGCAUAUUCUAAAUGCAUCCAACAAAAACCAAAAUGAAAAAAAAGAAAAA
rnacentral:lncRNA from 1 species